UCCUUCUUUUUCUAUCGUUAAUCGGAAUUACUGGGCGUAAAGCGUGCGCAGGCGGUUCGUUAAGUCAGAUGUGAAAGCCCCGGGCUCAACCUGGGAACUGCAUUUGAAACUGGCGGGCUUGAGUGUGGCAGAGGGGGGUGGAAUUCCGCGUGUAGCAGUGAAAUGCGUAGAGAUGCGGAGGAACACCGAUGGCGAAGGCAGCCCCCUGGGCCAACACUGACGCUCAGGCACGAAAGCGUGGGGAGCAAACAGG
rnacentral:rRNA from 1 species